AACGAACGCUGGCGGCAUGCCUAACACAUGCAAGUCGAACGAUCCCUUCGGGGAUAGUGGCGCACGGGUGCGUAACGCGUGGGAACCUGCCCUUAGGUUCGGAAUAACUCAGAGAAAUUUGAGCUAAUACCGGAUAAUGUCUUCGGACCAAAGAUUUAUCGCCUUUGGAUGGGCCCGCGUUGGAUUAGCUAGUUGGUGGGGUAAAGGCCUACCAAGGCGACGAUCCAUAGCUGGUCUGAGAGGAUGAUCAGCCACACUGGGACUGAGACACGGCCCAGACUCCUACGGGAGGCAGCAGUGGGGAAUAUUGGACAAUGGGCGAAAGCCUGAUCCAGCAAUGCCGCGUGAGUGAUGAAGGCCUUAGGGUUGUAAAGCUCUUUUACCCGGGAUGAUAAUGACAGUACCGGGAGAAGAAGCCCCGGCUAACUCCG
rnacentral:rRNA from 1 species